UACGUAGGGUGCAAGCGUUGUCCGGAAUUAUUGGGCGUAAAGAGCUCGUAGGCGGUCUGUCGCGUCGGCUGUGAAAACCCGAGGCUCAACCUCGGGCCUGCAGUCGAUACGGGCAAACUAGAGUACUGCAGGGGAGACUGGAAUUCCAGGUGUAGCGGUGAAAUGCGUAGAUAUCUGGAGGAACACCGGUGGCGAAGGCGGCAUCCUGGACCGAUACUGACGCUGAGGAGCGAAAGCCAGGGGAGCAAACGGG
rnacentral:rRNA from 1 species